UACGGAGGAUCCGAGCGUUAUCCGGAUUUAUUGGGUUUAAAGGGUGCGCAGGCGGGAGAUUAAGUCGGCGGUGAAAUUUUGCAGCUCAAAUGUAAAAGUGCCUUCGAAACUGGUUUCCUUGAGUGUAGAUGAAGUAGGCGGAAUUUGUGGUGUAGCGGUGAAAUGCAUAGAUAUCACGAGGAACUCCGAUUGCGCAGGCAGCUUACUAAACUACUACUGACGCUCAGGCACGAAGGCGUGGGGAUCAAACAGGAUUAGAUACCCUGGUAGUCCACGCAGUAAACGAUGAUUACUAGCUGUUUGCGAUACAAUGUAAGCGGCUGAGCGAAAGCGUUAAGUAAUCCACCUGGGGAGUACGUUCGCAAGAAUGAAACUCAAAUGAAUUGACGGGG
rnacentral:rRNA from 1 species